AUUGAACGCUGGCGGCAUGCUUUACACAUGCAAGUCGAACGGUAACAGGCCUUCGGGUGCUGACGAGUGGCGAACGGGUGAGUAAUGCAUCGGAACGUGCCCAGAGGUGGGGGAUAACGCAGCGAAAGCUGUGCUAAUACCGCAUGUGAUCUGAGGAUGCAAGCGGGGGACCAGGCAGCAAUGUUUGGCCUCGCGCCUUUGGAGCGGCCGAUGUCAGAUUAGGUAGUUGGUGGGGUAAAGGCCUACCAAGCCGACGAUCUGUAGCUGGUCUGAGAGGACGACCAGCCACACUGGGACUGAGACACGGCCCAGACUCCUACGGGAGGCAGCAGUGGGGAAUUUUGGACAAUGGGCGCAAGCCUGAUCCAGCAAUGCCGCGUGCGGGAAGAAGGCCUUCGGGUUGUAAACCGCUUUUGUACGGAACGAAAAGGCUCUGGCUAAUACCUGGGGCUGAUGACGGUACCGUAAGAAUAAGCACCGGCUAACUACGUG
rnacentral:rRNA from 1 species